rnacentral:rRNA from 1 species
AGUGAACGCUGGCGGUAGGCCUAACACAUGCCAGUCGAACGGCAGCACAGUAAGAGCUUGCUCUUACGGGUGGCGAGUGGCGGACGGGUGAGGAAUACAUCGGAAUCUACUUUUUCGUGGGGGAUAACGUAGGGAAACUUACGCUAAUACCGCAUACGACCUACGGGUGAAAGCAGUGGAUCUUCGGACCUUGCGCGAUUGAAUGAGCCGAUGUCGGAUUAGCUAGUUGGCGGGGUAAAGGCCCACCAAGGGGACGAUCCGUAGCUGGUAUGAGAGGAUGAUCAGCCACACUGGAACUGAGACACGGUCCAGACUCCUACGGGAGGCAGCAGUGGGGAAUAUUGGACAAUGGGCGCAAGCCUGAUCCAGCCAUACCGCGUGGGUGAAGAAGGCCUUCGGGUUGUAAAGCCCUUUUGUUGGGAAAGAAAAGCAGCAGGUUAAUACCCAGCUGUUCUGACGGUACCCAAAGAAUAAGCACCGGCUAACUUCGUG